UGAAAAGUUUUCACUGUAAUGAUUACUAUAAUAAGUAUACGUUUAAUGUAAGGCAAAAUUAGGAUUAAACGUUUACUCUAUUACACGGUUUGCAAAUAACGUUAAAUCAUCACUUGAACCAAAUGAAUAACAUGAUUAUUUAAUUCGCAUUACAAAUGACCCAAAUAAUCGCAAGUUAUUUAUAGUCUGCAUUAAAUAUAGACCUAUAUAAGUCAAUAAGCGAGGCUGCAAAUUCAGAUUGUAAAGCAAUCUUGAGAGUGCAGCAACAAUCUGUAUCAACCAUGCGUGCCCCCAUACCCCUGCUUCUACUGGCGCUGCCCCUGGCAUAUGGAAAGAUUGUAUAUGAGUAUGGAAACAAGGACAGUAUAGGUCAACCUUUAUCAUAUUUCCAAGGUGAAAUGGGAGCCCUCGAGAAAAUUCGAGUUGUAAACUUGAAAGUGCCCCAAUGCCAUCAAGUAACCUACGUGCUAGUCGAAGUCGAAAAUAACCGAUCGGUGCCAACUAUUAAAUAUGAACCAAUCACAGAAUCUGUAGUGAUUUUAUACCACUUGGUUUCCAACAGUCGCUCCACUUAUGAGAUUUGGGUUAAGAGUGCUCACUUGUAUGGCUGUGACGUCCCACCACCCCCAUCAUCGCAAGAUGGCGUUUAUCCUAAAGGGGAUACUGGGUAUGACAACAGCGCUGAGGUUGUUGCGACUCCGGUACGCAGAAGUUACGGAAGUAAAUAUGUACUUCCUCAAGGAUCAUAUGAUCCAUAAGUCUCACGACGUAUUUUCCAAACUCAAAAACAAUAAAUUGGAGCAUAGCUGUUGGUGAACGAGCAUUUUGAAUUGUGAUCAAGGUUUAAUGAACCCAGGAAACCUGAAGAUUUUUCACAACCUCAUUUGGAACCGUACUAUGCAGAAGAUAAUAUUCGAAUAAAACAGUUGCUCUACAAAA